CUGCUCUGCAAUCCAGCUGGCUUUAACAAGACAGAGAUUCAGCAAACAUUGACAGCCAGGAGCAUUUUCAGCAGGAGGAACACUUCAGCUGGCCUUAUAGUGUAGUGAAUUGAAAUAGACUGUCAAAGAGACACCGGAGAAUGUACAGAAAACCGUAAAUCAUCUCUAGGUGCAGCCGCCUACAGUGCAGCAAGUUUUCAAAGACUAUGGGCUGGCUUCUGGGGAAAUGAACAACGUGGAGUGCUUUUGGGGUUUUACUCCUCAGAUGACCACCCUGGCUACUGGGAUUGCUUCAUAGACAGAAUAGUUUGUGCAGGCACAAUGUGUCUUUACUUUAACACUUGUGGUCACUUAAAAUUCAUGUAUGUUGUUAAAAUAGCAUAAGAUGGUUUUUGUAUUUACUCAAAAACAAUUAAAAUUGGUAAAAUUG